ACUCAAAGGAAUUGACGGGGGCCCGCACAAGCGGUGGAGCAUGUGGUUCAAUUCGACGCAACGCGAAGAACCUUACCCAGGCUCGAACGGCUCGUAGUAGGACCUGGAAACAGGGACGAGCUUACUCUGUAAGCGGCGAGUCGAGGUGCUGCAUGGCUGUCGUCAGCUCGUGCCGUGAGGUGUUGGGUUAAGUCCCGCAACGAGCGCAACCCUUGCCCCUAGUUGCUCACUCUUCGCAAGGAGAAAGCACUCUAGGGGGACCGCCAGCGAGAAGCUGGAGGAAGGUGGGGACGACGUCAAGUCAUCAUGGCCUUUAUGUCUGGGGCUACACACGUGCUACAAUGGACGGUACAGAGGGCUGCGAAAGCGCAAGCUGGAGCCAAUCCCGCAAAACCGUUCUCAGUUCGGAUUGCCGUCUGCAACUCGACGGCAUGAAGCUGGAAUCGCUAGUAAUCGCGGAUCAGCACGCCGCGGUGAAUACGUUCCCGGGCCUUGUACACACCGCCCGU
rnacentral:rRNA from 1 species